UAAUAAAAUAUUAAUUUAUAUGUUUAAUAAGACUAAAUUACUCAACAUUCGAAUCAUAAUUCACAAAUACGUGACAAUGGAGACCUAUAGCUCUGAAAACCUUAAAUAAAUUUUAAUACUCACAAUCUAAGCAUUAAAACCCAAUAAUUAUACCAUAACAUGUACAGCAUAAAACAAAGUCGUUGAUGUGAAUAACUUUAAAUUGUAGAUUGCAAUAAUAACAUAAUAUAAUUAAUACAAGAAUAAUUGUCAAUAAUUACUUGUGUGGUGACAGUUCGCUUAUUAUCCUGCCAACAGGACUUGUUAUGGUGGAUGACAAGUGGCAUCCAUGGAUGUUCAACAUCCAUGUGAUAAAAGACGUCAAAUGUGAGUCUACCACGCGAUACUUAGAGGUUCUGUACAAAUAAACUAAAGUAAAACAUUUGUCUAAAGAAAAUACUUAACCAUCAAAUAAAUGACUGUAGCUAAGAUGCUUAACCUUAUUUUAUUAGUCCUUGUUAUGCUGGAAAUAGAAAUAAGUACACUUAGGUGAGAGACGAGAGACAAAGCCUUAAAAGUUCGAUUUUAACCCUUGUCAUAUUAUGGAACUCUUAUAAUUUAUGCAUGCUUGGGACAUCCCUAUCAUCUUAUAAAUAUAUGUUAUUUGUUUUACAUUCAUAGUAAAUGUAGUUAGUAAUUAGCGCGUGAAUCAUUGUUUUUGCCUAAGCAGGAAGCGUCUACAUGUCUCAGAAUAUUCAGUUUAGUUAUGUGUAGGCAACAAACAACUUUGUAUUUUUAAUUAUUAUUGCAUUGGGCAUGACGACUAGGUACGUGGGCAAAUAUUUAUAAGACUAAAAACUGAAAAAUAAAAUUGUUGACAUCACAUCAUCACCAAAUUAAGUAGUUGUAAGACAAGCUUUAUGUCUACUAAAAAUACAAGUACAAAAGUAUCUAAUACCAAUAAAACUGCGAUAAUAUUACUUUAAAAGGCACUAGAAAAUCCCUUUUAAAGAUCCAUCCAAACAUCCACACAAACAAAUUUUAAAACAAAACACAUCCACCUGAUCAAAACAAAAACAUUACAAAAACAGCUUCCCCUUAAGCGCAAUAGCACAAUACGACCUUAUCUCUCGCGCAUGCGUAGUAGCCAGUUGUAAAAUUAUCUCUUUGUAACAUUAUUUAUAUGUAUACACAAAUGUGUGUACAUUUAUAAGUAUGUAUAAAUGUAUAUGGGCAUAAUGUCAUGUUAAGAGUGCAGUUAUUGUUGCGUCAUAUACUUGGCUCAUUAUGAGAUCUUUGUUGGUAUUUACUGAAGGUUUUAUUAUGUAGGUACUUGCACUGUGAUUUUCUAACUGUGGGUAUUGAAUUUCUUUACUUGUGUUGGGUAAAGGGGAAAUACUGUUAAGUCGCAUCCAACAGGGAUGUGUGCGGAGUCUGUUUUCAAAUUAAUAAAAGUAAGCAAUUUAUGAAUUUAAUUCUGUCCGACGUUAGGUUCGUUGUUAUAAAAAUGUAGCUUUUGGUAACAAUACUUUUAAGUAAUUCACAAAUAUUGUCUUCCUAUGUAUCUUGACUAAUCACGGAAGUAUGAGCAGAAAGGUUAAAGCAAUUUCGAGUUAGGAUGAAUAUCACGAAAAAGUCUAGUAACUCAAAGAUUAAAAAAAAAACCGCGGAUAAAUAAUCCGCGUAAUUUAGGUAUCUUAAUACAUCUAAGUGUCUUCUCACAUGUGAUUUUCAGUCGUCCUAGCUUUUUAGAAAACCUGCAUUUGUCACGGGGGAUUACUCGACUAGUUUCAAACCCAACCUGUACAUGGUAGUAACCAUGAACCGACAUGACUUAGACAAAAAAUUGUCAGAGAUAUUGAUUGAUACGUGGAAGUAAACAUUUGUAGAUAUCAUUCAAGUACAUUAAUAUAAUCAAAAUCGCAUAAAUAUUUACCAAAACAUGAAACAAUAACAAUUAUAUUUCAAAGCCACAAAUAUUAACAAAUAAAUUUCAUUGAAUUAAUAUGCGUAGUAGUAACAUUUUCCUUAUAAUGUAGAGUAGUUUAUAAAUAAUUUAAUAUUGUUAAUGAAAUUGCAAGUGUUUAUCUUAACACAACAAUUAUAUCUGUUAAUUGUUAUAAUUGUUACACUUGUUAUAAAUAACAAUGAUUUAUUAAUUGUAAGGUCAAGUUUCCAAUGUUUUGUCUUGAUAAUGUUUAUGUAAUUAUUGUAAUCAGAUGUUAUAAUUAUUGUUUCAAGUGAUCUCUUAAUGUCAAAGUUUAGAACGAUGACCGUGGAUUGGUGUAGGUUAAAAGUUCAAAUAGGAACGCAGUUUAAAAUAAUUUGCGUAUUAGUAAUUCAUUGUUUUAAUAUGAUUUGUUAGUCAAUUCAUUACUAUGUUUAAUUGCUAAUUAAAACAAAGUUACAAAGUAGGCAUUCAAUAUAUUUUUUAAACAUUACGUUUUCAAAGGUUCAAAUCGGAACCUUAUUACUGAGGCUAUAUUGCCUGUUCGCCUGUGCCUAGGCUGCAUCAGAAGACUACCUUUUUUGAAAACAUUUUGAGAAACUAUAUAUAUUUUUUUAUCUUGACGUUGUUAAAUCUUUGUGCAUCAGAGACCUACGCUAUCUCGUGCAUGAGAUAGGCCUCUCGUCAACAUCAAAAUAACAAUUUUGUGACUAAUAUUUUUUGUAAAGUCAUACAAUAUAAAAGCUAGUAUCAACUACUUUGUUACUCAAAAACAUCUUUAAUCUUUCAAAUAAAAGUUAAAAGGUAAAUAUAAAAGGAACACAAUAAUAUUAAUAAGUUAACACUCAAAGAUGUGAGUCAGUGAAACUGAUAAACAGUCAAGUGUUGAUAAUCCACUUACAAUAUUUUGCAAUAUGAAAUAUUUUAUCGUAGUCAACAACUGCAAGUACAGUCAGCAACAAAAACCUAUGAUUAAAUCUGACUAAACAAGUGAAAAUAAAAUGAUUGAAAUUGUAUAUUGAUCUUUUGUUUGUUUAUGUAUUGCUUCUUUUACAAAAGAUGUGAAUUAAGUCUGCUUUUUACUUAAUUCCAGAUACAUUUUCGACCUGUCAAGUAAGAGCUGUUAAUUAUAAAAGACAGUUGAUUAAAAGAAAAUAAAAUUGACAUCUGUUGUUUAUUGUCUUUUUUUGUAAAUACACAUUUUUGUAUUGAAAAAAAAUAUAUGAUUGUAGCACCUAUUUUCAUAUUGAAUAAAAAGCCAGAAUUAAGCUUUUCCGUAACUUAUCGACAUCGAUUUAUGCAAGAAGAAGUAGUGACAUAAAAAUGGCACAUUUAUGACGUAGAAAUUUUAUUUGUUCGAGAGAUUCAGCAUACUGUACUUUUAGUGAUUUUUCAAGAGACCCUUGUUUUCAUGACUAUAUCUCCUAGGAAUAGAUUUUAGAAUGCUGUUUGAGUGUUUCGUAAAUGUGAAUGUCGUUGGAUUUUUUUGCUGACGGUACCUUAGUAAUAAUAGUGUGGGAAUCCUAGUUGUUUGCAGAAGAUAAUUAUUUUAUUACAUUCGCUGUGAUUUUUAAAUGACAAAUCGUUUUGCGUAAUCGUUUAAUAUUGUAGUUGUAAUUGCAAAUAUUAUUGAUAUAAAGGGUGUAAAAAUGUACAAUUAUGUUUAAAAUUCGAUUUGUCAAGUGCUCAUCGAAAUUGGCAACAUUCUAUAAAUAAAAACAUAAUUGCCCCAAUAACAUUUGAUCAGCGAUCUCUAUAAAUUAAAUCAAUAAUAAUCAGAAAAUAUCAUUAUUUAAUGUCAAUUAAUAAUUUGGCACAACAUUACUAUCUCGAAAACAAAAUCACCAAUCAAUUGAGUUUGAAUAUUGGGUCAGCGUCGACUCUCAGAUCAAAGUUCAUAAUGCCACGCGUCUAUUUAUAAAUCAACCAAUGAAGCAGGAAAAAUCAGUUCAAAGGCUUACAAUAUUGACCACAAAGGAUCUACUGUGUACCACUGAUAGUAUUCAUAGUACAUUAUAAUGAUCGACAAUAAAUAUUAGAUACUGCGUAGUCACUGCAUCUUAGGUCAAGGCUACCGCGGCUGUAGACUGGAUGGGUACCCGUUGUAUGAUAAUCUAUAGUAUGUGUUACAUGUUCUUGGUGUUCAUAAUCUACUAUGUUUAUUGGAUAAUAUUAAACAUUGCUUGUAUGCUUGUUGUAGAUUUCAAUCUUAGAGACAGUUUUUGCAACAAAAUUUUCGUUGGGUGUGCUUUCAGGCUCACCAGAUUUAGUUAAAAAUAAAAUCAUAUUCUGAAACAUCAAUAAGGACUUUUACGUACGUAUACGCAAUACGAUUUGAAGUGUCCUAUUACUUAGUGACUAUGACAUGAAGUACUAAAUUAUUGGCAAAAACCCCCUUUUACCGAUUUAGGGGAAUAUUUGACCAAAAAUAUUUUGAGAAUUUUCAACCAAGACUCGAUGUAUGUGAAGCUUUUGAAGAUUCCUUGGUCCUACAUUAAAAUCAAGCCAACGAAACGUAUAAAACGUGUGACGUAGUAAGUUAGACCGAACAUAAUUCGCUAGGCAAUAGCAGGCUUCAGGGUUAGCUACUGUCUGACGUAGAAAUUGAAGUAAAGAGCGAUGAGCUUUUGAACAAUUGUUUGUGUGAGACUCGGCUACUUUAUUUAAGCUUUUCCAUUAAUUUUCAGUCCAUUUCAUUUAAGUAUGGGGAAACUCCACUUGUUAGUAUUUUUGAGUGCAUUCAAGUUAUUCCAAAAAUAGUCUUUAUUUACUAGUGGGCCAUCAUCAUCAUUCAAUCCUAUAUGCGUCCUACUGCCGAGCACAGGUGUCUUUCUCCUAUUUGAAGUUUGAGCAUUAUAGACCAUAUUACCCAUUAAUUCCAAGUCAAAGGAUUUUAAAGACGUUUAAGGCAAGAAUUGUUUGGUCUGUUGAUAAAAACAACCUCUAAAGAGUUUGUUCAACCAAGAGGUCAAUAAAGCAAAUCAGGUAUUUAAUUUCACCAUCCGUAAGUCAGUAACUUGGACCAAAUCUAAACUAUAGUAUUACGUACAACAUUAUAGUAAGCUAUACAGUAUACACGUAUGAACUUUCGCAGUGGGCAACGGCAGAAGCGGUUCCAAACCGGUUCCAAUACUGCAAUGUACUGCGACUUGACUCGGACAAAGUCGUUGAGACUCCAUUAAUAUUGAACUAGGAAUAUUAUAUGAAAGAAACUGGUUCUCGAUACCUUAAGCAAGUUUUUUUAGACGGUUUGUUGCAGCACUUGCAACGCCCUCAGGAAGACUUGGAUGAUAUUCGUCUUGUUUUAAAUCAUGAUGGUGAAAUUUUCAUCAAUAUUAGGCUGAAAAAUUCAGCAUCAAUAACAGGAAAAGAAUUUAAAUAAUUUUCAUUUUUUUCAAAAAUCUUUUUUCUUCUGAAAUAGGUAGGUAGAACUAUGAUAGCAAGGCAUUAACAGUAUUAACCCAAGAACAAUACGACUAUACAAACAUAAAACAAUAAAAUAUAAUAAUGAAAUGGAUAAUCUUGAAGAUUUUGUAUGUCUUCAACCAGACAAAAAGUCUUUUCAUACAAAAAGACUUUAAGAAGAGCUUUUCAAUAAAAUUGUUGCCCAUUCUGUAAUAUUCUCCAAAUACUUAACCGAGCUCGUUUAUACCAUUGUUAACAACAAGUACUUUAGAAAAAGCCAAAACUUUCUUCAACAGUAUAUUUAUUUUCAAAGAUAAUAGAACUCUCCACAGUUUUCCUGUUUUAAAGCUAGAUUUAACUGAGGCGUCUUUAUUACUUCUUGUACUAAGAUACUAUCGUACUGCAUACAAUCACUUACUAUAACUAUAUUGUGUUCAUACUAUUUCCUGGUUUAAAUAAAACAUGCUUCUUACAUUGUUCUCCGCUUUUCUGUUUCUUUAUUUCUUUUAAAUUACUGUAGUUGGGCUUAUCCUCUUUUGUUAGGAUUAUUGAUACUUGGUCAGUUUGAAUGUUUCCCAAUGUUUCUAUUUUAGCUUCAGUUGAUGGUUUUGUCAAUAGCACGUUGGUGAAGGUAUUUUUAUUUAUGCUUGCAAUUCUGUCUGUCGGGACGAUGUAAAAUUAUUUAUAUUUAUUUUUUAUGUUACUGUUGAAAAUUUAACUUUUAGCUAGAUGUGUUCAUUAUUUACAAGCUAAAGAGCCUCGCAGAACAAUGUGGUAUAAAUAAAAAAACAGGCAUGACAUUAAAAAUAUUUCCAUAAUUUAAGAUUUUGAAUUACGGAAUAAGAUAAAUGCAGUGUUAUAAAAGAAGUUAUGUAUGAAACAAUUGCAGUUUCAACUACACAGUAACACCAUACAUCAAAACAAUUGCUUUCAUAAGAGUACCAACAUAAUUCUAAUCUCCUACAUAUAAAUAAUGGAACAGUCGUUAAAUAUCAGUUCUGAGGCGAUUGCAAUGACAUAAAGCUGUUUUACAUCUACAACAUUAUAUUAAUUUUCUAUAUCUUCAAUUUUAAACUCUACACCUCUAUUAUAAGGUUUGUUUUCAGUUUUUGUAUGUUUGUCUGAAUGUCUGUCAAGUCUUUGGCUUGCGUAAUGCUUGAUGUACUGUUUUGUAUUAUGUCUGUUAAGUGUUGCUGUAAUUGAAAUUGUGUCGUAUUGAUCUUUGAUUAGUAAUAAUUGUUGUUGUUUAUAUUUCAAUUUGUUUUUCGAUUCAAUUUGUUUAUUGAUUAAAAUACUUUUCUUGAAAUCUUUUCUCCUUAACAGUUGGUCGUUAUUUAAGCAAUUACAUAAAGAAGGUGUGGUUGUAAUGAGUGUUAUGUCAUCACAGAACCUGUUCACCAAAUAAAUUGCUGAUCGUGAAGAACAUAUAACAAUGUAGUGUAAUUUAGAAUAGACAGCAAAAAGUAUUAUUGAUAUAGAUACUUCCAUAGUAAGCCUAAGGUUUCCAAAAAACCCAUAAAACCCUAAUCUAAUUCAUAAUCAGACAACUCAAAUCAAAACACGAAACUCAUACUUAAUUAUAAAUUCGAUAUAACUUGGAAUCGUUAUUCCGUAAUAAAUAAUUCCUUAAUAUAUUCAAGCUAUCCAUCCAAAAGCCUUAAAUGGUGGUGUUAAGCUCUAAUUAAAGUUAGACAGGUCCGGUCAUCUAUCAAGGCUGGCCUAGUUUCAAUGUACUCACGAUUCGUCAAUUCGAACAACUGCUCUUGAUUCGAACCAUAUUCAUUUAAGCAUAUCAAUUUAAAGUUCUAAAUAUAGAUCUCAUCUUCCCAGUUGUUUAGUAGUUGUCAUUUAAUAUCCUAUAUUGUGUGGAUGGCUAAAUGCUGUCAACUGAUAAUGUGGGACUAAGAAAACGUGGCUUUUAUGAGGGUUGUGGAGGUCAAGCAGGAGGUUCUAUAUCGGGGAAAUUACGGGAUGUAGGUAAUAUUUUAGAUGUAGUUGCUGUUGAGUUACUCAAUGUUGUUGAAUCAUUUAAAAAGGAAUCUUCUCGUAUUUAAUUUUGAUGUAGGGUUUAUUCGAGUUGUAAUAAUGUACAGUUUCAAUUUUGUUUGGUUUGUCGAUAGUGCUGCUCUAUCUUUCCCAAUAUUAUAAAACGCUUACGCUUGAAUACUGAAUUUCAACCGUUAUUUCUCCUCUUACCAUUUAUUCGUAUGAGCAUAUUUUUACUAUAUUAUCCUUUAAAUAUCCUAUUUACAUAUCUUCAUCACAAUCUUUCUCAUGACCACUAACAUUAUCUUGCGUUUCAUCAGUUAUUUCUGCUCGAACAUCACCACUUAUUGCAUUAACAGUUAAACCAUUUUUUUCACUGAGUAUUUAUAGUUUAUUUAAUUAUUGUUAUUCAUUCGUUAAACCGGUGUGUCACCGACAGCGCAGGUGCUGUUUUGCAAUACCGCCAACGGGAUCAUGCGUAGGAAAGUGACAAUUUUGCAUUGAUUAUACACAAAUUGUUAUAAUUUUGUCGUAAACUUUACUUAAAUAUUGUACAUGUGGAUUGCAUUUCUAGUUUAGAUUUUGAAUACGAUAGUAAAUAAGAAAAUAAAUGUACAAAUUAAAGGUUUGCAUAUCGUUUGUUUUCUUGUGUCUUCAUAUGGCUCGGGAUAGAGAAUCGUGGAAAGAUUUGGGGAGGCCUAUAAUAGGCCAACUAGUAGGAAGUGCUAUAGAUAAAAAAAGUAAUAUUAUUAAAUUCGUUGUGCUCAGCUAGGCUGAUAUUUUUUACAACUUGAUUGUAGAUUUAAAAGAACUAGAUAAGAAAACUAAAAUUCCAAUUACUUACGCACCUGGUAGAUUCCGUAAUUACAAUUCUGUGUACUCUACUGUUCAGCCUCUAUUUCAUACUUUAAUCAUUACAAUUUAAUUAUACCUUAGCCUUUAUAAAAUCGAAAAUUCUGAAUCGAAUUCGCAACCUGCGACUUGUUCACCCACGCUUAUCGUAGGCGCAACAUGUCCCGACCGGCCUACCAUCGUAAAAAUACGUGAACAACUUGCUGACUUUUAUUUAAGAUAGUUAAAACUUGAACAUUGGACAUCCAUAUUACUCAGACGUUAGUUAUGUUAAGAUGUUAGACUGUGUUGAUCGCUAGGAGAUAAUUUGUUAUAGAGACUUCAGUUAAAAAAAAACCUAAAUGUUGUAGAAUUCGUAAGUGUUCUUUUUUCCGUCAUAAUUGGCAAAAUUGUUCACUGAAAAACUUAAAUGAGAAGCUCUUCCAUUAAUUUCUACUUCUCCUUGAUUUGUAGACGGAAUUAUAGAUUGCAAUCUGUUUAUAUUUACAGCAAAACAGGGGGGAAAUAAAUCUCAAUUUUGGGAUUUAUUAUUAAACGAUAUUAAAAUGAUUUAUUAUUGAAUCCUUUCAAGUAGAAUCUCGAUAACCCCCACUUAAGUCUGCACAGGUAUCGAAACAUACGCUUUUGCAAUUUAAAUCUAAAUUUAUAUCAGGUUCAAACGGUGAUAGAAAACUUAUGGGAAAACCUUAAUAAUAAAUUCUGUUCGUGUGUUAUGGUAUGGGAACCGUUCAGGUUCUGCUUGCCACGCUAGACAUGACCUAACUGUGGGGCAGAAUGAUAAUGUUUUGAGGAUGCUGAAGGUAUCAACCAGAUGCACGUAGACCCUAAGUGUUUCAUGCAAAAUUCAUUUGUUUGAGACAAGGAAGACGCCUUUGUUUACAUGUUGCAUUUGAUGAUGCAUAGUAACAAGAGUUUUAAAGGAAGCUUUCUAUUGAGCAUGCAUUCAAGUGAAGCUUAUUUUAAGGUAAAUAUUAACUAACAUAGUUUUAUAGAUAUGUUUGUGUCUUACGUCGUGAAUGUAUGAGUUGAAAGCCUACGAUGUGUUAUUAUCAGUCUUAUUAAUGACGUGGUAGAUUGUUUAAGAAUAAGAUGUGCUUCAAGGGACAGUUAGAGAGCCUCUUAGAUACCUAAGUUUGAAACCGAGAGUAACCUGUUAGGUCUACGUAAAUUGAAUUCACAAUGAUGAAAUCCUAAAGUUAAGCAAGAAUACAUACAAAAUUGCAAGCAUUAACUUCAUAAAGACUGACAAUUUUCCACCAUGAAAAUCGUUUCAAAUCAAGAAUAAUUUUAGGUAAAAUAAAGAUUAUAUACCUUAUUUACAAACGAAUAGGAAAACAUGCAAACGGAACGAUUUCCUACUGUAUGCGCGUGCGCCGCGUGAAUGCAUCUAGGUCAAGUACGGGCGACGUGAAUCAUUUUUCUGCGAUGAUCGCAAGAUGUCUUAACUUAAUGACGUCUUUAUUUGCUUUGUUAUUAUUAUGAUAAAUAAUGUCCUUGGUUUUCCUGGUAUCGUCCACAGCUAUGCGAUGGGAUACCUAGCUGUCAUUUUUCUCAUUUCCUUGCAAAUUAUCUUCUUCGUUCAAAUUUACAGAAAUCUUCAUUUUAGUUUCAUCAUUAUCCAUUUCAUCGAUACUAUUAUUGUUAACCUCAAGUAAUAAAUUUAUUCUACCUCUAACGUCCAUAAAUUCCACAGAAAAUACAUUAUUGACAGUAUUUACAGACCUAUCUAUAUCACCCAUCAUACACAAACGUGUCCCCGUACGACAAAUCGAAACAAUCAACAUCACAAAUUGAAUCCUAACAGUACGUUGUGUCUUCGUGAUACCAUCAGCUAUUCAAGCUAGGCUAGGCCGUGUCUAUGAUCCUAGGCACACUGAAUAGUAAUCACACCGUUAUGCGUCGUGACAGCUUGCCUUGUUUUUGGAUCUGACGGGAAUAAUACCAAUGGACGAGUGGUAUUUAAAUGUAUUGUGGUAAUGUUCUUGUCACCUAUUUUCUAGUUUCAUGGGAAUGAGGAGUUUUGUUAGUGUGAUGAGUGUUGACUAGUGUGUGCAGUUGAUUGUCGUUUAUUUUUUAAUUGGAAUUGUGAUCCGUAUUUGUUUGAUUCGAUGAUACAUUGAUUGGAAACGGUGCAAACUUAGAGGAUUUUUAUUCUUUACUCCCGUUGCAAGACUUGCAUUUGUAAGCCUGUUUACUCCAUGGUCAUUGAAGAUAAUAACAAAUUGUUUUUUCUUUAAUAUUGGAUUAAUUUAAGAAAUUUUAAGUAAAGCUUGGUAUGUAACUAAUUUUGUUGUUCUUAUCAUAUCUGUUUGCGGGUUAUUAUCUGCAAUUUGAGCGUUGGCAGAUUUUAGUCUUCUCGCAGACACUAGCUGUUAACUAACUAAACUAAAAUUAGAACAGCUAUUUGACUAUUCAUAACAAACCUACAUUACAAAACACAAAAUAACAUUUCAAAAUCAUAUACAUUCGAGAACAGGAGUACAGUCAUCAUAAAAAUCGUAGUCAAUCGAAUUAAUCCUUCAAAUUUAUAAUAUAGUAUUAAAUAAUUUAUGUGUCAAAUACUGUUCUCUACCAUCUAAAUAUUCAGUUACAAAAUUAUAGAAACUUUUUCAAUAUUAACAUAUACCUUAUUACAAUGCGUUAAGGUCGAUUUUCAACAGUUUUUCUUAUUUUUGAGGUGCGUUUGACUGUACUAAUUGAAGUCAUUAUGAGUAUGCGUACGUAAGUGAGCCUAUUAUUGUGUCAAAUUGAUAAAUAAUUGUGUAUGUGAAUUUUUGUAUGGCUUUUGAUCGUACUUUGGAGUUUAAUGACUGUAUGAUGGGUUUGAAGGCAUAUGAGGUGUAUUUAAGUGAGAUAUAUGAAUGGAUUUUAUUUGUUCGAUUAUUAGAUGUUUGAAGGAGUUCUUUACCUAAUAUCUGAUAAUAGAAUAGUAUAUUUAUGUAUUUUUAAUAAGCUGAUUACAUUAACGAUAUAAUCCUUGUACGUUCUUAUUACAUGCCUAUGAAUAUGCACCCGGUACAUACAGCAAAAUUCAGCUUUUUAAGUCUUUUUGUUCCGGCUAAUCUCCUAAAUGCUUGGACCGAUUUUAAUAAGAGUUUUAUUGGCGGGUCGUUGA